rnacentral:ncRNA from 1 species
UGGCUUGUGGCAGCCAAGCGUUCAUAGCGACAUUGCUUUUUGAUUCUUCGAUGUCGGCUCUUCCUAUCAUACUGAAGCAGAAUUCAGUAAGCGUUGGAUUGUUUACCCACAACAGGGGCAUGUUAAAGAAGACGAGAGAGGCU